rnacentral:rRNA from 1 species
GAUGAACGCUGGCGGCGUGCCUAAUACAUGCAAGUCGAGCGAACAGACGAGGAGCUUGCUCCUCUGACGUUAGCGGCGGACGGGUGAGUAACACGUGGAUAACCUACUUAUAAGACUGGGAUAACUUCGGGAAACCGGAGCUAAUACCGGAUAAAAUGUUGAACCGCAUGGUUCAACAGUGAAAGACGGUUUUGCUGUCACUAUUAGAUGGACCCGCGCCUCAUUUGCGAGUUGGUAAGGUAACGGUUUACCAAGGCAACGAUGCGUAUCCGCCCCCAGAGGGUGAGCGCGCACACAGGAACUGAGAGACGUGCCCGAAUCCCAUGCGAGGCAGCGGUAGGGAAUCUUACGCAAUGGGGGAAAACGUAACGGAGCAAAGCGGCGUGAGUGAUGAAAGUCUUCGGAUCGUAAAACUCUCUUAUUAGGGAAAAAAAAAUGUGUAAGAAUAUCUGUACGUCUUGACAGUACCCAAACAGAAAGCCCCGGCUAACUCCGCG